GACGAACGCUGGCGGCGUGCUUAACACAUGCAAGUCGAACGGAAAGGCCCUGCUUUUGUGGGGUGCUCGAGUGGCGAACGGGUGAGUAACACGUGAGUAACCUGCCCUUGACUUUGGGAUAACUUCAGGAAACUGGGGCUAAUACCGGAUAGGAGCUCCUGCUGCAUGGUGGGGGUUGGAAAGUUUCGGCGGUUGGGGAUGGACUCGCGGCUUAUCAGCUUGUUGGUGGGGUAGUGGCUUACCAAGGCUUUGACGGGUAGCCGGCCUGAGAGGGUGACCGGCCACAUGGGGACUGGGAUACGGCCCAGACUCCUACGGGGGGCAGCAGUGGGGAAUAUUGCACAAUGGGCGGAAGCCUGAUGCAGCAACGCCGCGUGCGGGAUGACGGCCUUCGGGUUGUAAACCGCUUUCGCCUGUGACGAAGCGUGAGUGACGGUAAUGGGUAAAGAAGCACCGGCUAACUACGUG
rnacentral:rRNA from 1 species